UUUGAUCAUGGCUCAGAUUGAACGCUGGCGGCAGGCCUAACACAUGCAAGUCGAGCGGAAACGAGUUAUCUGAACCUUCGGGGAACGAUAACGGCGUCGAGCGGCGGACGGGUGAGUAAUGCCUAGGAAAUUGCCCUGAUGUGGGGGAUAACCAUUGGAAACGAUGGCUAAUACCGCAUGAUGCCUACGGGCCAAAGAGGGGGACCUUCGGGCCUCUCGCGUCAGGAUAUGCCUAGGUGGGAUUAGCUAGUUGGUGAGGUAAGGGCUCACCAAGGCGACGAUCCCUAGCUGGUCUGAGAGGAUGAUCAGCCACACUGGAACUGAGACACGGUCCAGACUCCUACGGGAGGCAGCAGUGGGGAAUAUUGCACAAUGGGCGCAAGCCUGAUGCAGCCAUGCCGCGUGUAUGAAGAAGGCCUUCGGGUUGUAAAGCACUUUCAGUCGUGAGGAAGGUGGUGUAGUUAAUAGCUGGCAUUAUUUGACGUUAGCGACAGAAGAAGCACCGGCUAACUCCGUGCCAGCAGCCGCGGUAAUACGGAGGGUGCGAGCGUUAAUCGGAAUUACUGGGCGUAAAGCGCAUGCAGGUGGUUUGUUAAGUCAGAUGUGAAAGCCCGGGGCUCAACCUCGGAAUAGCAUUUGAAACUGGCAGACUAGAGUACUGUAGAGGGGGGUAGAAUUUCAGGUGUAGCGGUGAAAUGCGUAGAGAUCUGAAGGAAUACCGGUGGCGAAGGCGGCCCCCUGGACAGAUACUGACACUCAGAUGCGAAAGCGUGGGGAGCAAACAGGAUUAGAUACCCUGGUAGUCCACGCCGUAAACGAUGUCUACUUGGAGGUUGUGGCCUUGAGCCGUGGCUUUCGGAGCUAACGCGUUAAGUAGACCGCCUGGGGAGUACGGUCGCAAGAUUAAAACUCAAAUGAAUUGACGGGGGCCCGCACAAGCGGUGGAGCAUGUGGUUUAAUUCGAUGCAACGCGAAGAACCUUACCUACUCUUGACAUCCAGAGAACUUUCCAGAGAUGGAUUGGUGCCUUCGGGAACUCUGAGACAGGUGCUGCAUGGCUGUCGUCAGCUCGUGUUGUGAAAUGUUGGGUUAAGUCCCGCAACGAGCGCAACCCUUAUCCUUGUUUGCCAGCGAGUAAUGUCGGGAACUCCAGGGAGACUGCCGGUGAUAAACCGGAGGAAGGUGGGGACGACGUCAAGUCAUCAUGGCCCUUACGAGUAGGGCUACACACGUGCUACAAUGGCGCAUACAGAGGGCGGCCAACUUGCGAAAGUGAGCGAAUCCCAAAAAGUGCGUCGUAGUCCGGAUUGGAGUCUGCAACUCGACUCCAUGAAGUCGGAAUCGCUAGUAAUCGUGGAUCAGAAUGCCACGGUGAAUACGUUCCCGGGCCUUGUACACACCGCCCGUCACACCAUGGGAGUGGGCUGCAAAAGAAGUAGGUAGUUUAACCUUCGGGGGGACGCUUACCACUUUGUGGUUCAUGACUGGGGUGAAGUCGUAACAAGGUAGCGCUAGGGGAACCUGGGGCUGGAACACCUCC
rnacentral:rRNA from 1 species